AAAUCUGUUCACUUACUUCUCUCAAUGUCAUGGAUUAAAGGCAAUCAGUUCAAUAAAUUGUAUGUAAUUCUAUGUUUAAGGGUCUGAUGUAUUCUGAAGGGGCUACAUAGAGAAAUAGCAUUUACUUAAAUGGAAGCAGGUGAAAUAAAGUUCAGUCCUGUCUGAGAUUUGGUCUGUGGAAGACCAAAUGGAGGCAGCACACAUCCUUUGUGGAUUGAUGACCUUGGCAAACUGGUUAUAUUCUUUGACUGGUUGGAGUACACCAAGAGACCCCUGAAGUCCAUUCCAAACUUGAGGAAAUAUCAUCACUUCAGAACUUCAGCUGACAACCCAGUGAG